CUUAUGGCGUGCUUCUUGUUAGUUUCUGCUAGUUCCAAAUGAAAUCCAAUAAUCCAUAGUUAUUUCAUGCUGCUGCUGAAUGAAAUGAAAGUCCUUGCUAUGAGAUGGAAGAAACAUAAAAGUAUGGGAAUUCAAAGGAAACAAACCUUCGAGGUCACCGCAUGAGAUGAAUAAAGAAGAAUAGUAAUCCCUCAUUCAGUGCCUCCAGCACCACCUCUUCGCUUAUUGGUACCCAAUAUUUUCCUCUUCAUCUUCGUGUGUGCUGGUN
rnacentral:lncRNA from 1 species